UACGUAGGGGGCUAGCGUUGUCCGGAAUCAUUGGGCGUAAAGAGCUUGUAGGCGGUUUGUCGCGUCUGCCGUGAAAAUUCGAGGCUCAACCUCGAACUUGCGGUGGGUACGGGCAGACUAGAGUGUGGUAGGGGAGACUGGAAUUCCUGGUGUAGCGGUGAAAUGCGCAGAUAUCAGGAGGAACACCAAUAGCGAAGGCAGCUCGCUGGGACGUUACUGACACUGAGGCGCGAAAGCGUGGGGAGCGAACAGG
rnacentral:rRNA from 1 species